GCCUGCAACAAGACAGAACAGGGCAGGGGCCCUGGUGAGUGCCGCGGUGGUGCAGGCUGGGAUCACAGGCAGAGAAGUGGGUCACGGGUUGUCCAGGAAGCAGGACGAGACGGGGUCCUUACCCCAAGGCGUGGCCGCGUUUUACAUUAAAGACCACGUCAGCUUAGCGUUCGCCUGGCUCUUGCCUUAUUAAGGCCGUUUACUGGAUGUACCCAGGAGCCCUGUGGAGGCGAGGGCCACAGGUCACCUCUUUGGCUUUCUGGAUGAGCACACCGAGGCUGGGGCCCUGGGGCUGACAGUCACAACACUCACCCGUGAUCUAAACCAGUCCCGCUACUUCUGACAAACAAGACAGUGAAGUCUGAUAGAAGAGCUCCCUGAAGGGUGGUGACCCAGGGCUCCCGGGGUCCUGGCCGUGCCUCCUUUCUCCAGGGCUUUCUCUCCCGAGAGGCGUCCUGGCGGGGCUGGGAUGUGGGAACAGUGGUAUCCCCUGGGUGGGAAGUUUAAGGGGGCUUGCAGUGCGUAACUGGGCCUCACUGCCCUCCACAGUCCCUUGGCCAUCCCCUUGAUCCUGGCUGGGGCCCGGCAGGGAUUUCUGUGGUAACGUAAGGACAGUUGUCCACCCAGCUACAACCCAAACCUUUGUGGCUCCACCCUGUAGACAACUUUGAAUUAUCACGAAACGUGGACCAACACCGAACUGCCUAAAACCCGUUUAAGGAAGAUGCCCCACUUUCAUCAGUGCAGCCAGGAUCUGGCCAGCACGGAAAUGAUCUGAUCUUAUUUUGAGGGUGUGGGAUGAGACCCUCCCCUCCCACCUUGGUCUGCCCUGCCCCAUUCUCCAGCUGGGGGGUGUGCGCCGCAGGGGCGGACCGGGGCUUGGGAGUCCUGUGGCCAGAUUAGCAAAUAGGAGGGGUCAGAGGUAAGGGGCUGGGGAUGUCUGGGACGUGGGGGUCAGGGCAGAGACCGCUCUUCAACCCCACUAUCGGCAGGGCACCAAAGGCAAAAGGCGCGGCUGUAGCAAAGACAUCAAGUUAGUGAACACAGCACCAGGGUGGACCCCAUCAGCACCGAUGGAGGUGAGAACCCCCAAGGGGCCCCACCCAGAUGGGGGGGGAUGCCCAGCUGUGGCUUCGUAGCAUCUGCUGAGAUGGCACCUCGCACAGUCCGGCCGUCCCUUCGAGCCUGCCUCGGACACGCAGCCCCCACCAGCCCCGCCCCCCCUUCUGGCUUGUCCCACAGGCCUUGGCAGUUCAUGGCACCGCUGCAUCAUUGACCAUUUGUCAUCCAUCAUGGUGGUGUGUGAACUCAAACUGGAUUCUCUGGAGGCCCUGGAAAACUCAGAUGUUUCUGGAUUCCAGAGGCUGACUUUCUUCUGGGGGCACCGAGAGCCCCAUGCUCCGCAGCACCAAGACUGACCACUCUUCGGACCAUGUCCCAGGGUCGUCAGUUCGUGCGUUCCUGGCUGAGCCAACUUGUGACACAUCCUCCUCUGUCGCCACCCCAGGGGCCCCUGGGAGCUUCCCAGUCCCCGGAGGGAUGGUAUGCCAUCAGCACCGAUCCGGCCUUUAGCAGCGGCCCAGAGCUCGGCGAGAGACAGCCAGACACCUCCCCACCCCUUCAGAAAGAGCUUCUUCGUGGGGAUCUGUGAUGCCUCCUCCUGGGAGCCCCAAGAGAGGGAAGGUGCGUUCCCCAGAGAAGGCGGAAGAAGGCAGGCAGGGACGGAGGCGGCUUGCAGAGAGCCAGAGUGCUUUGAUUUGGGGAAAGGGCCAGGGGCGUAGGAAGAGGGGGACGGCAGCUAUGGGGGAGGGGACGGAGAGGGGGACGGGUGUGGUGGGCGAGGGGUGGAAGGACCUGGCUGGGCACAGUGCACCCAAGCAGGUAGGGGCUGAAAAGCAGCCCGGGCCCCCUCCCAGACCACGAGUUCACCCUUUCUAGUUCAUGGCAAGGUGCUGUGUGGCCCAGUAGCCUCCCAGCGCGGGGGCAAGGGGAGGCCACCGGUGAGACUGGGGAAGGCAGGAGAGCUUUCCUAGAGGGUGAGCACAAGACGUAAGGGGAAGCCUGUGGUCCUGUCCUGCCUCCUGAUUCCUGUCAAGUCGCUCUCGAGUCACUCGAUGGCAACACAAAUGGGUCAGGUGGGGGUCCAUUUCCCACCACGCCCAGGGCUGUGUCCCGGGAAGAGCCAAACAGGCCCCCACCCUGCUGGGUUUCUCUGCACCCUGCCCGACUGGGGCAGAGGUGCCCGCGUGCCAGGGCCGGCGGGGGCUGGCCAGGAGCCUGUCCCCGAGCCCACGGGGCAGCCGGGCUCUGGUUCGUGGCUCUGGAAGAGCCCAGGUCCCUGGUGGAGGCAGGACCUCCCCGACACCCACCUGUGUAUUCAGGAAAGCAGAUGGUCAAAGGUGACUUCUUGAUCUUCUCACCAAAGAGAUCUUUCUUGUUGAGGAAGAGAAUGAUGGAGGUAUCGAUGAAGAACUUGUUGUUACAGAUGGAGUCGAAGAGCAUGAGAGACUCGUGCAUGCGGUUCUGUAGCCCCAGCGGGGGGAAAGAGAGCCAGACAGACAGUGGGAGGGACAGACAUGGAGACAGGGAAAGAGAAGAAGAGAGUUAGGUUUGAGAGAGAAGAACAGGGCUGCCCAGCAGCUCAGGUGGGGCUCCUGUGCCCCCACGGCUCCUCCGAAGGCGACAGUAGUCCCGUGACCCGUCACAGCACAGGGCUGCUCAGUUCGGCGUUCAGGGCACCCGACACCAUCAUUUCGGGGCUAAUGGCAGAGACCGGGCUGGGAGCAGCCGUGGCUCCCCGGGUGGGGCCGAGGACAGGGCGACAUGGACUCUCCCCAUCGCACGGUCCCCCGCCACGGAAGGGUCUGCCUGCGUGGGUGGGAGUGUGUUGGUCGGGGGAGGCGGUGCUGGACUGGGGCCCGAGAGCAGGGCUUCGGCACUUCCCGUCCAGGUGUUUCCUCUGGGGCCCAAUCUGUGGGUGGAGACGGUGACUCUCCACCCCUCCUGUGGAUGGAGGGGAGGUCAUGCCAGGCUCCUGCCAGCAUCCUCGGGGGCCACCUCUCUGGGGAGAUGCUCCUGCCCGGGCUGCUUCCUGGGAGGCUUCUGGGGGACCACACUUCCUCUGGCCGGGGCAAACUCAGCCAUGUCUGACCCUGCAAGCAGUUUGAAGCAAUGCAGACACAAAGGACUGCCUUGCACACAGAAGUCCAUUUAGCAAGCGAGUGACCACCGUGGGCACUCCAAAUAAAGCAGAACCUGAGGGGGAAUAGCCUUUUGCCCCGGGCAAGCACUGACUUGUGCUGCGCAGGACCAGGCACACAGACUUGGGUCAUGUUUCUUGGGAAUGCAGGGGAGCAUGUCUCUCUGUGAGCAAAGCCAUUUCUGCGCGGGAAGGUGGUUCCUCCGUGAAACAUACCUUCCCAAGGAAAGGGACAGUCACUCAUUUUCCCCUCGGACCCUGUCCCAGCCCUGGAAACUUAUCCAUCCCACACUCAGCUCCAUGGAUAACUCCAGCCUACACUGUCCCUCUGUCGUAAGACUGAAACAGGUCAUUGCGGAGAGGUGGUGUGGGCAUCACUGGGCAUUAUUCCGUGGGGGAGGAACCCAUUCCCGGGGCCUCGCAAGCAGUAAGAGCUGAGUGAGCUUCUGGCUCAUUCGCCAUGGCCACCUUCCUCUAUCAGAGCAGAAGGCAGUGAGGAAGAUGGCGGAGUGGCCACCGCUGCUCCCCGGGCCCCACUCUGCCAGAACCCAGCCCAGCACAUCACCUGCCUCGUGUUAUUUAGCCUCAUCAAGCAUGAGGGGACAUUGAGACGUGACAGAGCUGGGGCCUGGAAGAGCAGAGACGUGUACCCGGCUCUGGGCCAGAUCCAGAGCUUACGAAGCGCAAUGGUUCGUCCGGCCAGUAUGAGCAGUCUACGGCCUUUAGAGGAAUAGACAGGAAGAGGGCCACGACCAGCUCUGUGCGCCUCCAGCCGCUCUCCCAUGACCGCGUUAUUACACCCAUGGCCUGUGAGAGUCUCAGCCCCAAACCCUGUGCCGACGGCUAAGGCCAGUCGCUGGAACAAGUUCUCCGCUGCCCCCCGGGAGCCUGCAGUCGACUGGCAUGGUUGUACUACCCACUCUGGGAGCUGCAGUGAACGGCCUUGUCCUUCUCUUUGCUGGACCAGUAAACAGCUAUGACCUUGUUAGCCUCCUGGCCCCAACCAGCACAUUCCAUUCUCAGCCCCCCCAAAGUUGGCCUGUCACGUGCACCGUUGCACUCAGGGGUGCUGGCGCCACGGGGCCUGUUCAGAGGAGGACGGGUGGAGGUCGCGUGAACGGAAGCUCCCUGCUGAGGGCUGGGAACACUCAGGCUCGAUGUGUCACCUCUGAGGGCAGAGUAGGGACGCUCCACGACCCAAGGACUCAAUAGGAAAAUGCCUCCUACCACACACAGCUGCCUGGUCCCACAGCUGCUCAACCAAGAGCCACAAGCCCGUAGCCAGAGGCCAGUCCCCAGGCCCAUUGCACAACAGACCGUCCCGAGCAUUGUCUUGGUCUUCAGACACCGGAGGAUGUGAUGGGGACGUAUGCUGGAGGACUCCCAGGACCAGAAGGGAUUCCCAGGGUGAACUGAACCGAGGAGGGACUGCGUCCGUUUAGCACAUGGGCCCCUGAGCUUAGGUUCGCAGGAGAAGUGCAGGCCAGCCGCUUGGGCCCCACAGCUCCGCGAGCCUGAGGCUCAGCCCUUCCGCAGCCUCUGCCCAGGGCUGCAGAGUGUGUGCGUAUACACCUGCUCUGCCCAGCAGCACCGACCGGAUUUGCCUCUGCUGGGCUGCUACGGGGCAGUAGGAACAGCCAGCUCGAGUCCUGCUCUCUGCGAGCUCACAGUCUAGUUGAGGGGACAGGGCACACGCACUGAAAAGGUCUGUGGUCUGGAGAGGCACCGUGCACAGUCGGACCCGGUUUUGCGGGGAGGGUCUCGCGGUGAGCCUUGGAAAAGGGCUGAUCCAGGAGACUCAGGGAGAGCAGUGGGGAGGGGAGGCGCCGGCACUGAGCCCCCCUCCCCACGCACACUCCCGACUGCCAUCCCUCUGCACGCUGACCGGAACCCCGCACCGAGCCAGGAGCCCUGCCUGUCCUCUCCAGCUUCCCUGGAGAAAACAGAUGCUGCAGUACACGCAAAGUGGAGACAGCACCGCUGGGGGAAAGAGAAAGAAGCCAGAGAUCACAGCCAGGCAACAGCCACCCACUCCUGUCCGUGGUCACCUUCUCGUCUCCCCCCACCAGCAGCCACAGGAAAGCUCUGUCCGCCCGGCUGCCGCGUCCCCCAGGGCAGCGGUGUGGCCGGCACCAAGCACACUGGGACGGGAAGGUGGGCUCACGACAAUCCCAAGAGGUAGGCCGGGUCAGGCCGGUUGCCUGGAAACCUUCUGGCCUCCAGUCGAGAGUGCCCCCUGUGCCAGGCGGCCCACAGUCCUGGCCCUGGGAUCGGGCCUGUGCAGGGCACGAGGACAUGUGUCAUGUGGGUGCACCUGGGGGAAGCUCCUUGGGCCCUGACACAACACACCACACUUGCACUAGAAAAAGCUGGCACUUUUUAUUAACGGCAGGUGACUAAUAAAUACAUUACGGUAGCCAAUAAAUUAUUACAAUAACUAGA